GACGAACGCUGGCGGCGUGCUUAACACAUGCAAGUCGAACGAGAAUCUACUGAAAGAGUUUUCGGACAAUGGAAGUAGAGGAAAGUGGCGGACGGGUGAGUAAUGCGUGAGCAACCUGCCCUUCAGAGGGGGACAACAGUUGGAAACGACUGCUAAUACCGCAUAAGCGCACGGUAUCGCAUGAUACAGUGUGAAAAACUCCGGUGGUAUAAGAUGGACCCGCGUCUGAUUAGCUUGUUGGUGAGGUAACGGCCCACCAAGGCGACGAUCAGUAGCCGGCCUGAGAGGGUGAACGGCCACAUUGGGACUGAGACACGGCCCAAACUCCUACGGGAGGCAGCAGUGGGGAAUAUUGCACAAUGGGGGAAACCCUGAUGCAGCGACGCCGCGUGAGUGAUGAAGUAUUUCGGUAUGUAAAACUCUAUCAGCAGGGAAGAUAAUGACGGUACCUGACUAAGAAGCACCGGCUAAAUACGUGCCAGCAGCCG
rnacentral:rRNA from 1 species